GGGACACGUGGUAUCCUGUCUGAAUAUGGGGGGACCAUCCUCCAAGGCUAAAUACUCCUGACUGACCGAUAGUGAACCAGUACCGUGAGGGAAAGGCGAAAAGAACCCCGGCGAGGGGAGUGAAAAAGAACCUGAAACCGUGUACGUACAAGCAGUGGGAGCACCUUCGGGUGUGACUGCGUACCUUUUGUAUAAUGGGUCAGCGACUUAUAUUCUGUAGCAAGGUUAACCGUAUAGGGGAGCCGCAGGGAAACCGAGUCUUAACUGGGCGUUAAGUUGCAGGGUAUAGACCCGAAACCCGGUGAUCUAGCCAU
rnacentral:rRNA from 1 species